rnacentral:rRNA from 1 species
UACGUAGGGUGCAAGCGUUAAUCGGAAUUACUGGGCGUAAAGCGUGCGCAGGCGGUUUUUUAAGUCAGAUGUGAAAUCCCCGGGCUUAACCUGGGAACUGCGUUUGAAACUGGAAAGCUUGAGUGCGGCAGAGGGGGGUGGAAUUCCACGUGUAGCAGUGAAAUGCGUAGAGAUGUGGAGGAACACCGAUGGCGAAGGCAGCCCCCUGGGUCGACACUGACGCUCAUGCACGAAAGCGUGGGGAGCAAACAGG